ACACGAUCUCGCCGCGACUUACGGGCCUGGAAUCGCUGGCUGGGCCCGGGGGCUGCGGGUUCCAACCCGCUAGCCUGUGACAACCUCCUCAGACAACAGCAGGAAGAAUGGGUCCUGUCCAGAGUAAACACUGAGCAUCCUUCUGUCUGCAAACCUGUUCAGCCUUCAAAACCUAAUGUCCACAGCACCUCAUCCAGGAAACCUCGAGCUGCCUAGAGGAGUGUCACUGGGAAGCCCUGGUUGUCCUGGAACUUGCUCUGUGGAUCAGGUUGGCUUCAAACUCAGAGACUGCCUGCUUCUGCUCCGGAGUGCUGGGAUUAAAGGCAGUUGCCACCACAGCCUGACAAUUUUUUUAAGAAAAAGAAACAGAAACUAAGGUCCAGGGAGAGUAGGAAUCUGUCAGAGCACCAUAAAGUGGAAUCUAGACCAGAGGAGGACCCUGGUUGCCAGAUCUUACCUGGUCUGUGUGAAUGGGACACUGGGUGGGGGAGGGGGGUGUCACCUGCCCAACAUAGAUUCCCCAGGAUCAAGUCUAGACUCUAUUCCUGGAUCCUUGGAGAGGUACCAUAUGGGAAGAGAAGCACUGUGGACCCUGAUGGGAACCAGCAAUAUGGCCAGCCCUUUGUUUUACCCUGCCUGCCUGCUUCAAGGUGAGCAUUCUUAUCUCUAUGUGUCCACCUGUUGGGGUUGGAUGUGAGAUGGAGUAAGAGCCGGAGACCAGAGAGGAGAAAGUGAGGGACAUGACAGGGAUGUCCACACAAAGCACUUAAGACAUGCAGUCACACUCAGGGUACCCAAGAUCAACCCUUUCCCUGCAAGGUGCCCUCCAGCUAGUGCUUAGUUUAGAGGACCAGAAUCCAGGGUCAGCCCUCCCUUACAGUCAUUUGCCUUAGUUCCAGUUGUUAAUUGAACAGCAGUGAUGGUUUCCUUCUUACAUUACUAUAAAGGUUAAGUGAGAUAUUAGGAAACUGCUUAGCAUCUUGUCUAGCAUAGUCAGCCUUGUCCCUGAUAUUUUUGCCCAAUAUCACCUGUCUUCAAAUGCCUUCCUGGAGCUGGCAGCCGGUAGACACUAGAGAUUCCAAAGGGCCAGCUGGUUCCCUGGGUGAAAAAAUGAGGUAAUCAAUGAAAAGGCCUGAAGGAUCCCAACCCCUUCCUGGCAUCCCAGGACCAGUUCUUCUGAGGAAAGAAAGGCAGAGAGAGUAAUCAGGAGCAGAAGGUCCCAGUGGGAGGGCUGAAGCCUACCAUCGGAGACAUGUGUUGAGGGAUGCCCUGCAGUCUGGAGACCAGUGACUUCUGUGGGAAGAACAGGUGGGACUCUGUCCUUCCUGGAGAGGAGGCCUACUGGGCCAAUGAGUGACAAGCAUGAAGUAUCAGAGCCACAGUCUGAUGUAAAGAUUUGGAAACCUACCUCUAAAAUUCUGUCAUCUUAAGUUCUGACGGACAUUGCUUCUUGGUCCUUUGGCUGUGGUCACAUGAAAAGUUCUGAAGUGCCAUGUCUUUAUGAGUCUUGGGUUCUAAUAUGGGAUCCUCAGGUUCUAAAAUUGCUCUGUCAUUGGAAACAUAGCAAAACCUAGAAUACACAUCUGUGAUUAAGAGGGCUAACCUAGCAGUUGUGAGGCCCUGGAUUCAAUGCUCACGCAAGGGUGGUGGUGGGAGGGGCAGAGAAGGAAGGGAA
rnacentral:lncRNA from 1 species